GUUAUCUACAAGAUCAUAUAUAGCAUAAAAGACUCUUUAUUCAUGUAUAAGGAACAUUGCUAAAGUAAAUCAGAGCAUCGCAAGACUUACUCCGCAAUACAAAUUCUGCCUGUCCUAUCAACGGAGGGUGGACUAUAUAAGAAUCAACGAAGCUGUCACUAUCGCAAACUACCACACAACCCGGCCAAUAGGAUACAUUUGCAGGUAAAUAACAUCUAAGCCCACGCCCACAUGUGAUCUACCAUUUAACUCCCACG
rnacentral:lncRNA from 1 species